rnacentral:rRNA from 1 species
AGUGAAUAGAUACCCAGGUAGUCCACGCCGUAAACGAUGGAUGCUAGCUGUUAUGAGUAUCGACCCUCGUAGUAGCGAAGCUAACGCGUUAAGCAUCCCGCCUGUGGAGUACGAGCGCAAGCUUAAAACAUAAAGGAAUUGACGGGGACCCCGCACAAGCGGUGGAGCGUGUUGUUUAAUUCGAUGAUAAGCGAAGAACCUUACCAAGGCCUGACAUCCUGCUAAGGUUUCCGAAAGGAAACUGUGCCUUCGGGCCGCAGUGACAGGUGUUGCAUGGCCGUCGUCAGCUCGUGUCGUGAGAUGUUUGGUUAAGUCCAUUAACGAGCGCAACCCUUUUAGCUAGUUGAAUUUCUCUAGCUAGACUGCCCGGUAACGGGGAGGAAGGAGGGGAUGAUGUCAGGUCAGUAUUACCCUUACGCCUUGGCGACAACACGCUACAAUGGCCGGUACAAAGGGCAGCUAAGUCGCGAGACGGAGCAAAUCCCAUCAAAGCCGGUCUCAGUUCGGAUUGCAGGCUGAAACCCGGCCUGCAUGAAGC